GAGAAAGUUAAUUAAUUAUUGGAAAUUAUUUUCGAUAUAUAGAAAUCUACAGUUAAAUGAUAAAAUAUUAUAGUUCAAUUUUCGCGCACUAAAGCAAAUAGAGAAUAAUAGCAUUUUAGCCAAUCAAAAAGCUGCUAAAACUUGGCAGCGAAACGAAUCAGUGCGCAUCAUUAUGCGCAUGUCGUCAGUCUAUCGUUGAAAAGUGUAGUGAUAGGACUCGUUUCGUAGGUAAAAAUUAUCAUUUGAUUGAAGCAUCAAAAAUGGAUGGAUGUAAUACACGUAAGAUAUAUAUAACUGAUUACUGAGGUUACUUUAAGCAGAAAAAGAAUUUUCAAUAUGGAUGCUAUGAUGAUUCACAGAGGAGAAGUAAAAUUUAAAUUCUUAUAUCGAAGAAAGAAGUAUAAGUAUUAUUAUAUUGUGACCAUGUGCAAUGUGGUCAGUAGAUUCAGUGUUUGUUUCGUAAUAGUAUUUUUAAAUAUUUUCGAGUACAAUAGUUUUAAGUAAAUUUAAUUAUAAUAAAUAUACGCGAAAUUAAAGUCAGUGCUCAUUCGCCGAUUAAAGAAUACAACAAAGCAUUAAAAUUAAUUUUUUAUUAUUUUUCUAUUUUAAUUUUAUUUUUAUAUUCAUUUUUGGUAGAGUAUACAAUAAUCAAUAUUUAUGUCAAGAAAAUAAAGACGAUUUUGCUGCUGUUACCCAACCAUUGUGAAUUUGAACAUUUUGCAAAAGAAUAAUAUGAAAAUAAUAUAAAAGAGAAUUUACUUGAAAAUAAAUAAAUUUUUGUGCAAAAGAAGAGUAAAUGGAACGUCGUUGACAGGAUUUCCAAUUUCCAAUUUACAGCAAUCUUCAAAGAGAUUUAUUUUUUUUCCCGCAUAUGUAAGUGAUUGCUGAAUUAUUUUAGAGAAGAAAAGAAUUUUCAAUAUGCAUGCCAUGAUAAUAAUUCACGUUUUACAGAGGAAAAGUAAAAUUUAAAUUCUUGUAUCGAAAAAAGUGAUGUAUGUUUUAUUCUUCGAUUUUUUUACAAUUUUUUUUUAUGUUUGUGCUGUACAACGAAUGUGAAUGUUUUGCAAACAGGCAACAAAAGAAGAAUUUAUUUGAAAAUAAAUAAAUUUUUUCGCAAAAAGAAGAUGAAUGGAACAUGUCAUGAUCAGGAUUUUCUUCAACCCACGUAUUCAUCUCUCUGCCACGUUCCGUAAACUUUCUCUUUAAAUUAAUCUACUCCAGAUCUCUUUCUCUCUCUUUCUCUCUCCCUCUCUCUGUAUUUUAAUCUUUCUCGUUGCACGUACACAAUUUAAAAAUAUGAAUUUGCAUUCAAAGUUUAAUCGCGUUUAAAGUUGGCGAGUGACAAGAAGAGAAACGCGAACACAGAACCUUCCUCCUAUCCGUUUGAAUAUUUUUUCCACCGUCGAUUUACGCGAAAAAGCGCGUCGUCGAUCGACUCAUAAACUCGGGGAAAAACGAAAAACAAAACGAGUCGUUAAAAAACUCGUUAAUAUCCUCGAUCGAUGUAACAUUGGCGCAGUUUUUGUCAAUUUUCAGGCGUACGCGAAGAAAAUGACGCGGACUCGGUGACGCGUAAACAAAUCCUCCAUACAAAUGCAAAUUUCGUUUCUACCGUUGCUUUUUUCUCCUCCCGUAAUACGCGUAAUUUUUACGCGGUAAAUCGUUAUUGGGGAUCGUAAAUGGGUGGAAAUUUUUGCGCAAACGGGGCGGGCGCGCGAAUCGAAGCGAAAUGGAGCGCGCGUUGUUUCUCUUUCGUCCUCGAUUCGAUUCCACGCGUAUCGCCGCUCCAUCGUGCAACUUUCAUUUCCCGUUCAUAGUUCGAUCUCGUACUAUUUUUCCAAUAUUUCACGGGUAAAUUUCCGAGGAGAUGUUUUAAAUCGUCGCGCUAACGAACGCGUAUCUUUCUCUUUAAAAAAAAAAAAAUUCCAAACUAAAAUUUCUUUCCACAUCAACUUGGAAGGUUGCAGAAUUAAUAAUUGGAACGCGUUCGAUUUAUUCUCGAUCGUUUUCACAGAUCCCUUUUAUACCCGCUAAGAAAUCGUGAAAUUUUUUUUUGAUCCGUGAGAAAUUACCGUUCUGCUGCUCGAGUGACGAGUAAGAAUCAAAAAGAAUUCAAUUUGCAUGAGAAAGAAUCUCCACCGCUCAAACGUGGUUUUACAGCCGCUCGUAAAAGUGGGGGGAAGGGAGGAAAAAGUGGCGGAUAGUGGGAAAAAAAAAAAAAGAGGAAAGAAAAGGACGUGGCAACGUGGUCAGGGGAAAGAAAAGAGGAAGAAAAUGGAAAUACGAAAAACCGAGCAUCCCAGCCGGCAUAAAAUUACGCGGAAUUACGCGUAUGUCUGCCGGAAUUGUAGCCCUCUCUCUUUCGGCCCCGACGCUUCUUCCUAAAUAUUAAUGCUCCCACUCUCCUUCGACCGUGCUAAUUAUUUACAGAUCCCGCGGGAGACGCGACCGCCAUAUAUAUCUCUAUAAACCUUGCUAUCUUCCUGUCCUCUGUCGUCGUCGUAAAACCUUCGAUCGUCGUAAAAAAAGAAAGAGAGAGAAAGAGGGAAAGAAAGAAAAACGUAAAAUUCCACUUGGGUCGGCCGAAGCGAAAUCAAGCGUGCUUAUCGGCCCAAUUUCAACCCUAUCUUAUCCACGCGUAUAUUCGAUCAUUUUCGCACGGGAAAAUGUAUCUUUACGUCUUACGCGAUAAGCUGUUUUACGAUUUCACUCAGUUCUUUCUUUCUUUCUUUCUUUCUUUUGUUCGUUCGUUGGUUGACAAAAUUUUGUGAAAUUCGUAUCAAGAUGUACUAUGGAGAUUAUGGGGAUUAAGAUUUACGAGGAGUGGAAAAAUAUAGCGAAAAAUGCGAAUUUAAUACGAAUAGAAUGGAACACGGAACAAUUUUAAAUAUAAAAGACGAUAUAGAAAUGAUUUGACAAUUUUUGCGACUUACGCGAAUUGGCGCGGAAAGAGAGGAUGAAAAUUGCUGGAACAAUUGGGGAAAGUUAUUGUAUUCGGGGCGCGAUUCAAAAUUCUCAAUCGCGUCCCGAAGAAAAUAUACGAGGCAUUACGAAUUAACAGGGAUUCGAGAUCAACGUUAUCCUCCGGGGCUUGUUUUCCCUCGGAAUUUUCGUUGAAUAUCAAAAACGAUUGAUCGAUGAACAGCGGUGCAGCUGUUUAGUUGGAAGACUUUCAUUUCCCGGAGGGAGGAAUAUGAUUUAAAAGAAUUAAAAUGCUCGCUAUAUAUAUAUACAUAUAUAUAUAUACACACGUAUAAAAGGUACAGCUGGUUUCUACGGAGAAUAGAGGGGUGCAUUCCCAAGAGAUGUUUAAAAAAGUAAGGAAUUCUCUGCGGUAGCAUUUAACAAGAACCGAAGAACUUUUAUUAUUCGAGUUAUGCUUUAAAAUUAAACAAUAUAAAUCAAGAUGAAAGAAAAAUUGAAAAACGUAUUUGCCGUUGAACGUUCGAAGAGAUUGAAAAAUUGUUGGAUUUUAUCGGAAAAAUAAUUGUAAUUAUAAUUAUCGACGUGAAGUACGUACGUAUCGUACGUUUCCAAUAUAAUCUACGCGUAAAAUUAAAGUUAUUUCGUCGAUAUCGAUUAUUCGAAAGGAUAUAUCGGACAAGUUUCGCGAAACUUUUCGACGAAUCCAACGAAACUUAUCGAUGGAACGCCACCAUUACGGUUGAAACAUUUAUGGCGAUGAAACAAUGCUUUGUACCCUGGAAAAGAAACCAUUCCGGCGAUUUUCGCGAUACAAAGAGGCACAAAGGAGCACCCUAAAAAGCAUUCCACCAAAGAAACUUUGAAACCUGUUACAAAGAGGCGGGAAGGAAGGAAAAACUCACCGUCAUCCGCAUUACUCUCGAAUCUCGUCAUUUUUCGAUAAUAAAACUCUUUUACUUUUAAAAAGCGGAAGAAAGAGGAGAUCGGGGUUGCGAUUCAAUUACCAUCUUUUCUUUCCCGACCGAUAUAUAACCAUUCUGUACGCGUGAUCGCAAUUUCAUUCGCCACGCUACCUAUAUACCUGUUAUGCUUCUCUCGUACCACGCGUUCCUCACAGCCAGCGCCUUAAUCACGACGACGUAUUUACAACCCGAUCACCAUAAAAUGGACCGAAUUAUGGGGAAUCGAUGCUCCGAUCGAAAUCGAGGCUUCAUAGACGCGUUGUUCACAUCCACUCCUCCUCCCCUUCGAUUCGUCCCAAUAAAGAACCCGUCAACUAAAAGGUAAAAAGUUGGAGAAAGUUGGGGAAUCGAAAAUCAAAGAAACGCGCGAAUCAUCGAUACGGAUUGCGCGUGAAAUAUACGUGGACCGACGUAUAUAUGUAUAAUGAUUAAAUAUUUGACGUUUGACGUUUCGCAUUUAUGAUUAUUCAUGAAGCGUUCAAUCAUUUCCAUGGGUUUUCCGUUCGUUGCUUUAAUUCGCGAGCAAAAGUACGCAAAAUGCAGCAACGAUUUCUUCGAAAAUGUUAUUAAAAAUGUUACGUUAUUGAUAUAAUAGGUUAACAACAACGAUGAUAUCCAUUCCAUCGAGAUUUCGUGCAAAAUAAAUGAUCAACAGUCCCGAUGGGAUGUUAUGCGCGUAAUCAUUCACGAAGCAACAAUUACCAGAGAUUUUAAUGAAUUUUCAAUCGACUGUUAUCGUCGUUUCGAUUAUUAACGAUUCGCUCCUGAUACCUGUGCCGAGUAUAAAUCUGUCCGACCUCUCUAAUCAGCGAAAUUUCGUUCGACAACUAUUCCGAUAUCGUUGAUCGCUUGCUCGAGAUCUUAGAAUCGAAUCGUGGCGCAUCUUUCAUUCUUUUCGACUCCUGUCUCUCACGUUCCGUUGCGUCCAUCGACGAUUUACGUCUACAAUUGGCCGAGUGUCGUCGAGAGGGAAAUUUCUCUAACUCACGAUGAAUCGCAACAUUCGAUGAAACAUUUCCGCCCAAAAUGCACACGCCCUUUUAAAUUACAAUCGAAAAUAAUUAACGAUAACUACGAUUAUUAGCAAUAUCGAUGAAAAGUUUCGAGAGGUUUCGUCGUAUUUAUACAUAGAUUUUCCAAAUAGAUUAUCGUUUUUUCGGUGAAAACGUGUCCGCAUCGAAGACGGUUGAUCAGAAUUUUCUCUACUAAUUGGGACGCAGGUGGUACGGAUAAACUCGCGUCGAGAGGAUUUUGAAACUAGAGGGAGCAAAAGGGUUUCUCUUCCUGUUGUUCCAGAACGGUUUAUUUUUCCAACGAUCGCGUAGCGUCGGAAAUGUGUCGCGUUAAAAGAUUAAAUUCCGUUGAAUUACAGGUUUUUUUUUUUUUUUAACAACGAAAUUACGACAUUAUAUUCGGAGAAAAAGGAAGCAGGGAAAGAGAGAUUAACCGAUGUUCUCUCCGGUGAAUGAUUCGAUUGAUCGAAAUGCUCGUUGAUCGAAUGGAGGUGCGAUUGGUCGCCUGUCGUUCUACCAUAAAAAAAUCAAUUACCGUCGGAUAAAUCAUUUUCGUUCAUUAUUCGGUUCGCUCGGUUUCGCUGAUUUUUAUUCAUUAAUUCGGAAAACGGCGAAACGAUUUGAUUAUUCCGAGCGAUUAUCGACGGAAUCUAGUUCAUCUCGUGGCCGAGAUCGAUUCACCACGAGUCAUUGCGCGCGUUACCGUAAAACGUUCAGGGUUCGGUGACGAAGGAAGUCGAUUUAAAAUGCACGUGUGCCCCUUCGUGUUUCAAAAGCUCUGUCGAAAAAAAUUUCAUCGAAAGAUAAAUAUCACCAGUGUACGAGUUUCGGAUCAAACGCGAGCAUAUUACGCUUUGCACGUACGUUUCGACGGAAUCGUACAAUUUUUAAUACGAUUUAACGCGAUAUAUUCGAUACGUUUCGUGCAAUUCAAGCGUUUUGAUACAUUGAAUAAUCGAUUCUAAUGUGAUUAAACUUAAUAGUCGGCUAGAUGACGUAUCAAACGAUUCGUUAUAUAUUUAUCUAACACGGAUGGUAAAUCUUAUCUUUCCUUUUUUUGCCAACUUUGAAACGUUGAAAUUGUUACGCAUAAUCGAAAUAUGAUAAAUAUAUAAUCGAGAAAAGAAUAUAAAGUCGUUUCGAAAUUUAGAUCGAAGCGCUUCCGAUAAAUGUUUAUCGGAGAAGCGAAACAGAAGCGACUUCCUAUGAGUCAUUAUGAGGCGGGCCGCGUUGAAAUAUCGCUGCUUUUACCGCGUCACGUAAUUGCGACCUGCCGGAAUAUUCGAGCCGGAAAAGGAGCCUACCUGCCCUUUACAUAUCGCGUGUUUCGAUGAUCGAAACGAUGGCGAAUAACAUGGUUGCUGACUUUUGUCUCCUUUGUAGUUUUGCGGAUGUUUGCGUGCUGGACGGUGAUGAAAUUUCGAAACACCGUUGUUCGAUCGAGGGAUCGUCGAUCCUGAUUAACUACAACUGUUUAACUGAAUAUUUCGCGAAGGUUAUAAACAGAAAAUCCGAUUAAAGACCAAAUUACCCGUCGUCGAAAUUUAACUUUGAAAUCGUGUUCGAUCAAUGUAAAUCGUAUUCGUAAGUCGAAGUUGCCAAGUCUCAACGCGUCUUAAAACGAAAACAAGAAGGGUCGAUGCUUUGGAAAAUUUCACGUAGCCUCCAAAAAGAUAUCUUUCCUUCGAAGAAAAAUGUAUUUAUACGUAGAGAGAAUAUAGGAAGAAUGUAGGCGUGGAGAGAAAAAUCGAAAAAUGAUUCACUCCUCUUAAUAAGUUCGAACCACGAUCCGUCUUGUUGCCGAAAUUUCGAUCGACGUGGAGAUGACGAGCCGUGAUUCGAAGCUGGGCGUCGCGAAAAAACGCCGUGCAAUCGCACGUCCGCUAUCAAAUCUGAUUUUAUACCCUCGAAUCGGAAUCGUUCGAGCCUCGAUUCAUUUUGAUCGUUGCGGGCAACCCCGUUACGCGGUUCCCUCGUGUCCCCACCCCUCGUCGAAUCUAUCCGGCGUUGUGCGCGCGAAUGAUCUCGGGGAGACGAUCGGUCCACGAGGUCGUUUGAAAGAAAAGAAAAAAGAGAAAAAAACUCAUUUUCGAAUGUUAUUCUCAAACGAGACGCAUUUCCUCGAUUUUCGGUAAAUAUUGAAUUACUGUGCACCACUCUGUACGAGAUAAAAUAAAUCUUCUUACCGCUGUUGGCGUUACGCGGCUUUACCGGCCCGACUUUAUACGGCUAAUGGCGAAGAUAAAUGUGAAAUAUUAAGAAUGACGUUAUCUGAAAAACCGUUUCUUAGAAAACUCCAUCUCACGAUUCUCUAUAAAUUGAGUAUUACAUUGAUCCAUAUACGAAACGUCUUUCGAAUCGAUCGAUUCGUUUUUUUGAUAAUUUCUUACUCCAGAGAGAGAGUAUCGCGCUGUAUUUAUGAAUUGUUAACGCGUUCGUUGAAAUCUUUCGCUUGAUCGAUGGAGAAUCAAUUUUUUUCGUUGGAUCGACGGAGGAAAGAUUAGAGGAAAGGAAGAAGCAAUCGGUGACGAAACAAACGAACGGCACUCGUCUCGUUCCAACGUUUCCGCUCGAGCACGCGUUCGCAUUUUGAAGAGUGGGCCGGCUAACAAGACGCGCUCGAAAUCGACACGUGCACCCACCCUUCCCACCUCCAAACAUCGUCUAGCGCGAGAAUCGAGAGGAACUUUGAUGCGGUGUACUCUCGAGCGUGUACUGGCGCGAGAAUUAAAACGUGUCAAAGAGUUGAAUUUGACUUGACGUGUUUUUUCAACGCCGACAACCUUUGUGAUCGCGCCAACGCACUCGAUUCAAGUUGCUCUUAUUCGUUUUCGAAUACCAGACGCCAAAGAUUUCGAGAUUCGAUCGAGGAGUUAUACUCGUAGGGCAAAAAAAAAAAGUAAUUAAGCGAUGCCAAAGAAAGAAAAAAGAAAAAAAAAAGAGAAUUCCAACUCGAAACGAAAAGAGAAUAUCGAUAAAUCGCGCUCGUUAUUAUUAUCAAAUUCGAGAUGCGAUCCUGUGUUUCAAACGUGUAUAUUUACACGUGUAGAAAAUUUUUUCGAGUAUUGUAACGGAAGACACGAUUGUUCGAUAAAUAAAUCGAUCAAAGAUGCGGUACGGAAACAGAAUUUGCUGAUAAUUUAUCGUGCGUAUAUAUCUCUGUUCGAGCAUGAGCAAAAAUUAAUCUGGAUAUAUUAGCGAUAUUAGCAAAUAACGCGUCAGAGGUAGAGAUGACUGGCGGCUAUGUGCCCGAGAGUAUCCAUCGGACAGGAUCGAUGAUUCUGUACAGAUUUCUAUGGACAUUCGUAAAGAGAGAAUGGUCGAAACGUUGUUUGAAUUGGAUAGAUGUUUGUCUAAAGGGAAAAAUUGGAGAACGAAUCUGCCGAUCGUUUUAUACACGAUGUAUAUAAUCGAUUCGCGCAAAUUUUAAUCUUACUUUUCGAUUCGAGCACCCAUCUCUUACAAAUCCUACUUUUAAACCCUUAACCUGAAAAAUGUGCGUAAAAUCUGCGUAAAGAAAUCCGUAAUCUAUUAACCAUGGAAAGAAUAAUUUUCAACAGUCGUCGAAAAAUCGAAAAUGAACCGAGAGAGAGAAAGAGAGAGAGAGAGAGUUAAAAUCAUAGGAGAGAAAGA